GCAAGUCGAGGGGCAGCGGGGGAGUAGCAAUACUCCCGCCGGCGACCGGCGCACGGGUGAGUAACACGUAUGCAACCUGCCCCUGUCAGGGGGACAACCCGCCGAAAGGCGGGCUAAACCCGCGUACAUGCCACCGGGGCAUCCCGGAGGCAGGAAAGGCUUCGGCCGGACAGGGAUGGGCAUGCGGCGCAUUAGGCAGUAGGCGGGGUAACGGCCCACCGAGGCGACGAUGCGUAGGGGUUCUGAGAGGAAGGUC
rnacentral:rRNA from 1 species